rnacentral:rRNA from 1 species
AAUGAACGCUGGCGGCAUGCCUAACACAUGCAAGUCGAACGAAACCAUCAGGUCUUUGGUCGCACGGGGUUGUCACGCGUGGGAACCGUCCCUUAUGGUUGGCCUAACUCCCCGAAUGGGGUGCCAACACCGGAUCGUGUCUACGAACCAAAGAUUUAUCGCACUUGGAUGGGCACGCGUUGGAUUAGCUAGUUGUUAGGGUAAAAGCCUACCAAGGCGACGAUCCGUAGCUGGUUUGAGAGGAUGAUCAGCCACACUGGGACUGAGACACGGCCCAGACUCCUACGGGAGGCAGCAGUGGGGAAUAUUGGACAAUGGGCGAAAGCAUGAUCCAGCAAUGCCGCGUGAGUGAUGAAGGCCUUAGGGUUGUAAAGCUCUUUUACCCGGGAUGAUAAUGACAGUACCGGGAGAAUAAGCUCCGGCUAACUCCGUG